rnacentral:lncRNA from 1 species
AAUAAACCAUUUUUUUAAUAUAAAUUUCUUUUACCUUUCUUUCUAUUAUUAUUAUUUUGUAAAGUUAUUUCUCACUAGAAUUAUCCUAAUGUUAAGAGAGUGAAAAGUUUCAUCUGAGAGUUUUUUUGUAUCGGUGUUGUAUUUUAAUUUCUAAUUUAAAAGCGUAGUUAUCAUGUGAUCUAUUUGUAAUUGAUUUGAAAUUUGUAAGUUAAACAUGUGAAAAGUUUGGGUGAACGUUAUUAAUUUGAGCCUAUGUAAAAGAUUUGGUGAAGGUUAUUGAGUUGAGCUUAUGUAAAAGCUUUAGUAAAGGUUAUUGAAUUGGGCUUACGUAAAAGCUCUCGUUGUUUGUAGAAUGUUUGGGUACUAAUCUUAUGCAAAAGUUGAAGUUGUUUUAUAAUGUUUGUGGGCUAAUAGUGUGCAAUAGUUUAAGAUGUUAUGUAAAAUUUAUGGAUUGAUCACGUGCAAAAGCUCAAAUUGUGUUGCAAGAUUUUUUUUGAGUGAUCAUAUGCAAAAUCUCAAGUUGUUUUGUAAGGAUGUUUUGGUUGAACAUGUAUAAAAGCUCAAGAUUGUUUUGUGGAAAUCUCAAUAGGAAACUCUUAGGUGAUGGAGUAUGCCGAGUGAUUUAGACCAUAAUAGGAUAAUCCAUAAUGUGAUCAUUUUAUCCAUUAUCUAUUUUAUUUAAAUUACUUAUCUUUUCAACAA